AGCACUAUUUUUUAAACCUAUUGAUGGACAUUUUUACCACCUUAGGUUACGCUGUAGUGCCAAAGAAUCCCUUAGCGCCUGUCGUAGCACAGCUGAUUGCCCAUUCAGUUCAUGCUGUGGUGGUGGUGUUAAGGAACAUGA